rnacentral:rRNA from 1 species
UGAGGAAUAUUGGUCAAUGGACGCAAGUCUGAACCAGCCAAGUAGCGUGCAGGCUGACGGCCCUAUGGGUUGUAAACUGCUUUUAUAUGGGGAUAAAGUGGGGAACGUGUUCCCUUUUGCAGGUACCAUAUGAAUAAGGACCGGCUAAUUCCGUGCCAGCAGCCGCGGUAAUACGGAAGGUUCGGGCGUUAUCCGGAUUUAUUGGGUUUAAAGGGAGCGUAGGCCGUUUGGUAAGCGUGUUGUGAAAUGUAGGAGCUCAACUUCUAGAUUGCAGCGCGAACUGUCAGACUUGAGUGCGCACAACGUAGGCGGAAUUCAUGGUGUAGCGGUGAAAUGCUUAGAUAUCAUGAAGAACUCCGAUUGCGAAGGCAGCUUACGGGAGCGCAACUGAUGCUGAAGCUCGAAGGUGCGGGUAUCGAACAGG